GGCGGUACCUUAAAGAAGGGAAGUUUGUGGUGGGGAGUGUUGAAGAAAAAAGGGAUCAGCGCAGGUUGAGUUUGUGAGGUCGGAGGUUCAGAUCCUCCUUGCCCAUGUAAUUAGCCAUUAGAAAAAAAAAUGCAUAUAAAAAAAAUUUUCUUAUAGGUUGAGUGCUUGUAAUAUGCUUAUCGAAAUUGGCAGGCUUAUUGCUUUUGUGUGAGCAAUCCAAACUUGGAGAAAAUUAAGGGGCCCUAAACCUUUCAAGUGCUAGGUAAGGCCGAAUCAAAAAACCUUGCAAAAAGAUUUUUCCAGCGGCCAUUUGGUUGAUAUAAAUUCCAAAUGCUCAUAGACGUCAAUGCCUAUAUGAAACUAUCGGUUCAAUCAUAUCGCUUUGAGUUAUAUAGAUUUUGUGAUCCCUCUUUUGAUCGCUUUAAACGCUUUAUUCUGAUUUAGGGGCCGUAGCUCACCUGGGAGAGCACCUGCUUUGCAAG
rnacentral:misc_RNA from 1 species